GACGAACGCUGGCGGCGUGCUUAACACAUGCAAGUCGAACGGAAAGGCCCCCUUGUGGGGUACUCGAGUGGCGAACGGGUGAGUAACACGUGAGUAACCUACCCUUGACUUUGGGAUAACUUCAGGAAACUGGGGCUAAUACCGGAUAGGAGCUCCUGCUGCAUGGUGGGGGUUGGAAAGUUUCGGCGGUUGGGGAUGGACUCGGGGCUUAUCAGCUUGUUGGUGGGGUAGUGGCUCACCAAGGCUUUGACGGGUAGCCGGCCUGAGAGGGUGACCGGCCACAUUGGGACUGAGAUACGGCCCAGACUCCUACGGGAGGCAGCAGUGGGGAAUAUUGCACAAUGGGCGGAAGCCUGAUGCAGCAACGCCGCGUGCGGGAUGACGGCCUUCGGGUUGUAAACCGCUUUCGCCUGUGACGAAGCGUGAGUGACGGUAAUGGGUAAAGAAGCACCGGCUAACUACGUG
rnacentral:rRNA from 1 species